AGGACAGUAGCUCAAUUGGCAGAGCAUCGGUCUCCAAAACCGAAGGCUGGGGGUUCGAUUCCCUCCUGUCCUG
rnacentral:tRNA from 1 species